AUUGAACGCUGGCGGCAUGCCUAACACAUGCAAGUCGAACGGAGGGCUUCGGCCCUCAGUGGCGGACGGGUGAGUAACGCGUAGGGAUCUGCCCCGCAGUGGGGGACAACCUGGGGAAACUCAGGCUAAUACCGCAUACGCUCCAUGGAGGAAAGCGGGGGGACCUUCGGGCCUCGCGCUGCGGGAUGAACCUCCGUCCGAUUAGCUAGUUGGUGGGGUAAGGGCCCACCAAGGCGACGAUCGGUAGCUGGUCUGAGAGGACGGCCAGCCACACUGGGACUGAGACACGGCCCAGACUCCUACGGGAGGCAGCAGUGGGGAAUAUUGGACAAUGGGCGCAAGCCUGAUCCAGCAAUGCCGCGUGGGUGAAGACGGCCUGCGGGUUGUAAAGCCCUUUAGGCGGGAAGAACGGCCGGGCGCAAAUAGCGCGCGGCUCUGACGUUACCCGCAGAAUAAGCACCGGCUAACUCCGUGCCAGCAGCCGCGGUAAU
rnacentral:rRNA from 1 species